AGUCAGAUGGCUGCUGCAAGGACCAGGAACAGUCAGUGUUUGGAGGAGAUGCCUAUGAGAAACGCUGGGGAGUACAGAAAACUGAGACUUAAAAGUUUGGAAGCCUGGAAAGAAAAGGAGGGGCCUGAUAAAAUACAGGCAAGAAAGAGAAGAAAGGAAGUGAAAUAGAGAGGAAUACACUAAGAAGGAAUGCUGUGGUGAAAUUACUGAUGAGGAGUUGAAAUGGUGGAGCAAAAGAAGAGCUUUGAUACAGGAGGAGACUACAGUUCUUUAAUGAAGGACAGGGCAGGUUCAUUUGGGAGCUGUUUGCAGAUGUCCUUGCCUGGUUGUGUUGAUUUUGGUACUGCAAAUUCCAUUUUUGCUCCCCAAGAGGUCCUUGAAUGAAGACAGCACAGAAAGGGGAAUCAAAACUCUGAUUCAGAACAUGAUUUCCAAGGAUGAAAAAAAAAAGGUAAAAAAAAGCUACAAAAAAUGUUACAACAUUGGUCCUUUGAAACAUCUGAAGAAGUCCAGUCUUUUCUUGAAGAUUUUUAAACAGUGGCAUGAAAGGAAUCAAAGCCUGGAGAGUCUUAGACCUGGGGACCAGAGCUGCAGGCAGACUUGGUAAGAUCCUGACAUCCAUCUCAGCUCCAUGUUCAGCUGGCAGAAAUGGAAAAGCCAGAGAGCUUGUCAAAUCUACAUUGGUGACAUAUUGUCUCUGCUGGACUCAGUGCUGGGCAAGAACAGAUGUAAAUGAAACUCCUCUCUGACAUCCACUUCUUUCCCUGCAUUAUCAGUUUUGGAUAGACUUAAAAGGCAAAAGAUGCAGAGCCAGCUCCAAAAGGCACAGAUGUGAAAGGGCAGAAGAUUUGCUACCACCUGAUAAGGAGCUGCCAAAGUAUUCCUCUGUCUAAGAUGCAAGCUACAUCAACUUCUGGAGUUCUCAGCAGCUGGGAAUAGCAGCUCAGUGUUGAAAAUUCAACGUAACCAAUUUUCCUUUUCACUCCUGAAGAUGUUGAGGUGUGCAUUGUGUGUCUCCAGCUGGCCAAGAGAACGCCACUCAGCACUGCAGCUUGGCAGGGUCAUCCCAGGAGAUAAUGCCACAAUUUACUGCUGCCCUCCAACAGAACCGAUCCUUUGAGAAAAGGAUAAGGUGUUUGUCUGUAAAGUUGGGAGGUCUUGUACUGCAGCUGCAGUUUGUUCUACAGAAGUAAUGAGAAAAGAUUGGCGCUUUGCAGGCUCUCGGAGCUAUGUCUUUUACAAGCAUUAGGAGAAAGCCAUGAACUUGAAAUCUCAUUCUCAGGAAUUUUAGAAGCAGCUGGCCUCCUAGAGGGUCUUGUCAGUCAGUUUUUUGUGGAAUUACAGUCACACUUUCCUAUUUUUUUCUUUCUACUGUUGCAGGGAAGAACACACAAGUGACAGGGCUAGACUGGGAAGAAGGGAAAUAACCACACAGCUUUUCAAUAGAAAAACAAUAAGUAAACUUUUUAACGAAGAAAGGAGAAAUUCUUUCCCUGUUGAAUCUCUAGGUGCUGUACCUCAAAACACAGGGAAUAUAUUAGUCUGGCUGUAUCACUUUCGAUUUUUCCAAGAUAAUCCACUGAAAAAAGUAUUGUCAUCCAAAAAACCCUAUGCAGAUGGUAGUAGAUUUUGAAAAAUAUGUAGAUAAAUCUGAAUUUGACAAUUGCCACAGAAAUGAAAUGAUUAUCAGUCACUGUGUUAAUGAUGUCAUUUCUAAUGUUCACACUUUGGGGUAUAAAUGACUAAAUACAAAACUGUAUCAACUUGUAAGGACUCUCUAACAAAUCUGUUAAUCUUUCAAGGAUGUUAAUGUGUGUGAUGCAAGGAAAAAUUCCUUAUCUGACCCAAGGAAAGUCUAGACAGACACCUGUGUCUGCCCUCCUUCCCUAAAAAUAAUAACUGGAGUAGGUAUUGGAAAAAAACCACCUCAAUACAACAGCACAGACAUGGCAUGUAGUGUGGAAAAUGGUAGA